AUGGACUUAGGACUCAUAUUGGUUUUCUCUACCCUUAUUUUAAAAGGUGUCCAGUGUGAAGUACAGUUGCUGGAGUCUGGGGGAGAGUUAGUACAGCCUGGAAAGUCUCUAAAACUCUCCUGUGCAGCCUCUGGAUUCACCUUCAGUAGUUAUGCAAUGAGCUGGGUUCGCCAGGCUCCAGGGAAGGGGCUGGAGUGGGUCGCAUCCAUUAGUAGUAAGAGUAGUUACAUCUACUAUGCCGACGCUGUGAAGGGCCGGUUCACAAUCUCCAGAGACAAUGCCAAAAACACUCUGUACCUGGAAAUGAGCAGUCUGAGAUCAGAAGACACAGCCAUGUAUUACUGUGCAAGAGACACAGUGUAUGAGUUGAACAUGAGUAGUGAGAUUCCAGCACAUGUGUUCAACUACACAGUAGUCUUGAAAAGGUCAAGGAGUCCAGACUCAGAAUAG